rnacentral:rRNA from 1 species
CCCUUAGAUGUUCUGGGCCACACGCGCGCUACACUGAUUCAUGCAACAAGUUUUGUCCUUGGCUGAUAGGCCUGGGUAAUCUUUGAACGUGAAUCGUGAUGGGGAUAGAUGAUUGCAAUUAUUCAUCUUCAACGAGGAAUUCCUAGUAAACGCAAGUCAUCAGCUUGCAUUGAUUACGUCCCUGCCCUUUGUACACACCGCCCGUCGCACCUACCGAUUGAAUGGUCCGGUGAAAUCUUCGGAUCUGAGAGAUGUCUGAUUAAUUUCGGACGCCUUUUGGAAAAGUUGUUUAAACCUUACCAUUUAGAGGAAGGUGAAGUCGUAACA